UACGUAGGGGGCUAGCGUUGUCCGGAAUCAUUGGGCGUAAAGAGCGCGUAGGCGGCCAGAUAAGUCCGGUGUGAAAGUCACAGGCUCAACCUGUGAAUGCCGCUGGAAACUGUCUGGCUAGAGUCCGGAAGGGGCGAGUGGAAUUCCUGGUGUAGCGGUGAAAUGCGCAGAUAUCAGGAGGAACACCAAUAGCGAAGGCGGCUCGCUGGGCCAUUCCUGACGCUGAGACGCGAAAGCUAGGGGAGCGAACAGG
rnacentral:rRNA from 1 species